GAAAAGAACUUCUUCAUCUUCAUUCAGAAAUUGGAGACUUCCCCAUGAAAAUCUCGUUUGUUCUCCUCAAUUAACUAUGAAAUUGAGAAAAAGAACUAUGCAAACGUCUCUAUUCUUCGUUCUCCUCGAUUAACUUUAUCACCGAAACAAAAAUACAGCAAAACGAAGAUUUGGGUUUUUCCCCCCUCGCCACAAAAAACGAAGAAACUUCGAAGAGACUCUCCAAGCAAGUGUCACACAUGAUCUAGGGACAAUUUGUGGCUUAAAAUUUCUUUGGAUUGUUUAAUUUCAAAUUCUAGGGCAAUACAUCUUUGUAGUAAUGGAAAGGCAAACAAGUCUUUGUUCCCCGUCGUAGCCGAAUCGUAGAGCAAGCUCGAAUUCAGGAGUUGAUAGGAGCACAACACUGUACCAGAACUCGGUAGAAGUCCUCGAAUUGCAGAGCAAGAUCUUGAGAUAUUGAAGAAGCAUAUUAUGAAACAUCCAGUUGGGGAACCGAAACAAUGGGAAUUGAUUAUCGAAGCUUUUCAAUGUAGGCAUGGAUUUAGAAAGUGUGAUUAAAACGGGGAAAUCAUCAUCAGAAAGGAAAAUAGGUAACGAUGAUUCAUUUACUCAGUUCUUAAAACAACAAAGACCAUGAGAUAAGAAAUCGGUAGAAGACCCAAAUGGGGAUUUCGAAUGGAUUAAUGACGGUAAAAAAGAAUACAAAUUGGACUUCUGCUGAAAAUGUUACCCUUAUGAAUGCUUUGAAAGCAUUUCCAAAGGAUGUUACAAUGAGAUGGGAGAAUAUUGCAGCUUAAGAUGAUGAUUGGUUCCUUUGAAGAAUUUGGAAACACUAUGGAAGUGGUGAAGUGAAGAUUGGCGAGGGAUGCAAUUUCAGCAACCAUUUGGACAGCUUGGCAUCUAAGGUACCCGAUCCUUAUUGAGGUAUGACACCGUAGUUCGAUGUCCAUUUAUGCUUUCUUGGGCGGCAGCUUAUAUUGUCACGGUGGAAGAGGUCAGGUACCAUUUUCUACCCAUAUUCACAACCCUCAGUUUAUCUCUAACCUCAUGUAUUGUGGCAUCAUUGCCUCGGGACUAAAUAUGGUAUACCAUGUUGUUGUUGCUUUUCAAUUGUGGAUGUUGAUUCCUUAAUGUACUUAAUUGACAAAA